AGGUUGGAGACUACAUAAGACUUUGACAGUUGGCGGGAAACCAUCAUCAACUGGAGAGAUGCCGGAAGAGGAAUGUCUGCGACUAAGUCAAGGGCCACUGGAUAAGGGUUGUUGAUGGCAAAACAGGUUGGAGACUACAUAAGACUUUGACAGUUGGCGGGAAACCAUCAUCAACUGGAGAGAUGCCGGAAGAGGAAUGUCUGCGACUAAGUCAAGGGCCACUGGAUAAGGGUUGUUGAUGGCAAAACAGGUUGGAGACUACAUAAGACUUUGACAGUUGGCGGGAAACCAUCAUCAACUGGAGAGAUGCCGGAAGAGGAAUGUCUGCGACUAAGUCAAGGGCCACUGGAUAAGGGUUGUUGAUGGCAAAAA